rnacentral:rRNA from 1 species
GACGAACGCUGGCGGCGUGCUUAACACAUGCAAGUCGAACGGAAAGGCCCUGCUUUUUUGGGGUGCUCGAGUGGCGAACGGGUGAGUAACACGUGAGUAACCUGCCCUUGACUUUGGGAUAACUUAAGGAAACUGGGGCUAAUCCCGGAUAGGAGCUCCUGCUGCAUGGUGGGGGUUGGAAAGUUGCUGCGGUUGGGGAUGGACGCGCGGCUUAUCAGCUUGUUGGUGGGGUAGUGGCUUACCCAGGCUGGGACGGGUAGCCGGCCUGGGAGGGUGGACGGCCACAUGGGGACUGCGAGACGGCCCAGACUCCUACGUGAGGCAGCAGUGGCGAAUAUUGUACAAUGGGAGCAAGCCUGAGGCAGCAACGCCGCGGGCGUGAUGCCGGCUUUUGGGUUGUAAACCGCUUUCGCCUGUGACGAAGCGUGAGUGACGGUACUGGGUAAAGAAGCACCGGCUAACUACGUG